UACGUAAGGUGCGAGCGUUGUCCGGAAUUAUUGGGCGUAAAGAGCUCGUAGGCGGCUUGUCGCGUCGGAUGUGAAAGCCCGGGGCUUAACUCCGGGUCUGCAUUCGAUACGGGCAGGCUAGAGUUCGGUAGGGGAGAUCGGAAUUCCUGGUGUAGCGGUGAAAUGCGCAGAUAUCAGGAGGAACACCGGUGGCGAAGGCGGAUCUCUGGGCCGAUACUGACGCUGAGGAGCGAAAGCGUGGGGAGCGAACAGG
rnacentral:rRNA from 1 species